rnacentral:rRNA from 1 species
UACGGAGGGUGCAAGCGUUGCUCGGAAUUAUUGGGCGUAAAGGGUAGGUAGGUGGUCUCAUUUGUCUGGGGUGAAAGCCUUGGGCUUAACUCAAGAAGUGCCCCAGAAACGGUGAGACUAGAGUCCUAGAGAGGGUCGUGGAAUUCCCGGUGUAGCGGUGAAAUGCGUAGAGAUCGGGAGGAACACCAGAGGCAAAGGCGGCGACCUGGAUAGGUACUGACACUCAACUACGAAAGCGUAAAGAGCAAACAGG